CUUUGAAGUAUUUUCAUCUCAAUUUCAUUGCAAGUUUCCAAAUACACUUUGAGUAUUAUUAAUGUGUAUAUGUUUCCAUUUUUUAAUGUUUAUAGGUAGUUGAACUGAAGCCAGGUGGAAAGGAUAUUCCUGUCACUAGUGCUAACCGAAUUGCAUAUAUCCAUCUGGUAGCAGAUUAUAGACUAAACAAACAGAUCCGACAGCAUUGUCUAGCCUUCAGACAAGGUCUGGCCAAUGUUGUGAAUCUUGAAUGGCUCAGAAUGUUUGACCAGCAAGAAAUACAGGUGUUAAUUUCUGGUGCCCAAGUGCCCAUCAGUUUAGAGGACCUCAAAUCUUUCACAAAUUAUUCAGGAGGCUAUUCUGCAGAUCAUCCAGUAAUUAAGAUUUUUUGGAAAGUUGUAGAAAGUUUCACUGAUGAAGAAAAGCGCAAAUUGCUCAAGUUUGUAACAAGUUGUUCUCGACCACCUCUUUU